ensembl:lncRNA
UGUCCCUCAGACCUGGUCCCUAUAGAGGGGACCAGACUGGACCAGACCAACAUGUUCCUCAGACCAGGUCCCUAUAGAGGGGACCAGACUGGACCAGACCAACAUGUUCCUCAGACCAGGUCCCUAUAGAGGGGACCAGACUGGACCAGACCAACAUGUCCCUCAGACCAGGUCCCUAUAGAGGGGACCAGACUGGACCAGACCAACAUGUCCCUCAGACCAGGUCUCUAUAGAGGGGACCAGACUGGACCAGACCAACAUGUCCCUCAGACCUGGUCCCUAUAGAGGGGACGAGACUGGACCAGACUGGACCAGACCAACAUGUCCCUCUGACCAGGUCCCUAUAGAGGGGGACCAGACUGGACCAGACCAACAUGUCCCUCUGACCAGGUCCCUAUAGAGCGGACCAGACUGGACCAGACCAACAUGUCCCUCUGACCAGGUCCCUAUAGAGCGGACCUGACUGGACCGGACCAGCAUGUCCCUCUGACCAGGUCCCUAUAGAGCGGACCAGACUGGACCAGACCAACAUGUUCCUCUGACCAGGUCCCUAUAGAGCGGACCAGACUGGACCAGACCAACAUGUUCCUCUGACCAGGUCCCUAUAGAGCGGACCAGACUGGACCGGACCAGCAUGUUCCUCUGAACAUGGAGGAUGUGUGUUUUUACAAGUCUGAUGGUAAUCUGUGAUAAAGAUGUCACAUGGAUCGAUCAAUCAAAAAGGACUACAGCAGUGUCAUAAUGACUGAUGCUUGGUUUACCAAUGACCACUGAUGGUGGUCCUGGCAAUGCUAAUCAGGUGUUCAAUGUUUGGGAUUCCACAUGGACCAGGAAGAAGAAAUGAACUGACUGAACACAGGCAGGAACAGCAUGCCCCAUUCCCUUUGGAUUAGGGAGAAUUCUGGGAAACGAUCAAUGAAAGACAUGGAAUCUGGAGCUUAGCUCUGUCAAAGUCAAUUUAUGAAUACUUGAUCCACAGUAUGUUACAAAUAAGAUACAUUUUGCACAUGAAUGUUACGAAAUAUUGUUGCUUGUAUUUUUGUAUAACAUAACUUUAUA